rnacentral:rRNA from 1 species
UACGGAGGGGGCGAGCGUUAUUCGGAAUUAUUGGGCGUAAAGGGCGCGUAGGCGGCUGUACAAGUCAAAGGUGAAAUCCCUCGGCUCAACUGAGGAACUGCCUUUGAAACUGUACGGCUUGAGGCCGGGAGGGGGUAGCGGAAUUCCCAGUGUAGCGGUGAAAUGCGUAGAUAUUGGGAGGAACACCAGUGGCGAAGGCGGCUACCUGGACCGGUUCUGACGCUGAGGUGCGAAAGCGUGGGGAGCAAACAGG